rnacentral:rRNA from 1 species
GAACGCUCGUAGCAAUACGGGAGUGGCAGACGGGUGAGUAACGCGUGGAUAUCUGCCUUUUGGUUCGGAAUAACCCCGGGAAACUGGGGCUAAUACCGAAUGGUUCCUACGGGAUAAAGAUUUAUCGCCAAAAGAUGAGUCCGCGUCCGAUUAGCUAGUUGGUGAGGUAACGGCUCACCAAGGCGACGAUCGGUAGCUGGUCUGAGAGGACGAUCAGCCACACUGGGACUGAGACACGGCCCAGACUCCUACGGGAGGCAGCAGUGGGGAAUAUUGGACAAUGGGGGCAACCCUGAUCCAGCCAUGCCGCGUGAGUGAUGAAGGCCUUCGGGUUGUAAAGCUCUUUUGGCGGGGACGAUGAUGACGGUACCCGCAGAAUAAGCCCCGGCUAACUUCGUG